rnacentral:tRNA from 2 species
AGCCCGGUAGUGUAGUCAGGUCAAGCAUGGAGGGUUUUGGUCCCUCCGACCCCAGUUCGAAUCUGGGCCGGGCUACCA